rnacentral:rRNA from 1 species
GUACCGUGAGGGAAAGGCGAAAAGAACCCCGGCGAGGGGAGUGAAAAAGAACCUGAAACCGUGUACGUACAAGCAGUGGGAGCACGCUUAGGCGUGUGACUGCGUACCUUUUGUAUAAUGGGUCAGCGACUUAUAUUCUGUAGCAAGGUUAACCGAAUAGGGGAGCCGAAGGGAAACCGAGUCUUAACUGGGCGUUAAGUUGCAGGGUAUAGACCCGAAACCCGGUGAUCUAGCCAUGGGCAGGUUGAAGGUUGGGUAACACUAACUGGAGGACCGAACCGACUAAUGUUGAAAAAUUAGCGGAUGACUUGUGGCUGGGGGUGAAAGGCCAAUCAAACCGGGAGAUAGCUGGUUCUCCCCGAAAGCUAUUUAGGUAGCGCCUCGUGAAUUCAUCUCCGGGGGUAGAGCACUGUUUCGGCAAGGGGGUCAUCCCGACUUACCAACCCGAUGCAAACUGCGAAUACCGGAGAAUGUUAUCACGGGAGACACACGGCGGGUGCUAACGUCCGUCGUGAAGAGGGAAACAACCCAGACCGCCAGCUAAGGUCCCAAAGUCAUGGUUAAGUGGGAAACGAUGUGGGAAGGCCCAGACAGCCAGGAUGUUGGCUUAGAAGCAGCCAUCAUUUAAAGAAAGCGUAAUAGCUCACUGGUCGAGUCGGCCUGCGCGGAAGAUGUAACGGGGCUAAACCAUGCACCGAAGCUGCGGCAGCGACACUAUGUGUUGUUGGGUAGGGGAGCGUUCUGUAAGCCUGUGAAGGUGUGCUGUGAGGCAUGCUGGAGGUAUCAGAAGUGCGAAUGCUGACAUAAGUAACGAUAAAGCGGGUGAAAAGCCCGCUCGCCGGAAGACCAAGGGUUCCUGUCCAACGUUAAUCGGGGCAGGGUGAGUCGACCCCUAAGGCGAGGCCGAAAGGCGUAGUCGAUGGGAAACAGGUUAAUAUUCCUGUACUUGGUGUUACUGCGAAGGGGGGACGGAGAAGGCUAUGUUGGCCGGGCGACGGUUGUCCCGGUUUAAGCGUGUAGGCUGGUUUUCCAGGCAAAUCCGGAAAAUCAAGGCUGAGGCGUGAUGACGAGGCACUACGGUGCUGAAGCAACAAAUGCCCUGCUUCCAGGAAAAGCCUCUAAGCAUCAGGUAACAUCAAAUCGUACCCCAAACCGACACAGGUGGUCAGGUAGAGAAUACCAAGGCGCUUGAGAGAACUCGGGUGAAGGAACUAGGCAAAAUGGUGCCGUAACUUCGGGAGAAGGCACGCUGAUAUGUAGGUGAGGUCCCUCGCGGAUGGAGCUGAAAUCAGUCGAAGAUACCAGCUGGCUGCAACUGUUUAUUAAAAACACAGCACUGUGCAAACACGAAAGUGGACGUAUACGGUGUGACGCCUGCCCGGUGCCGGAAGGUUAAUUGAUGGGGUUAGCGCAAGCGAAGCUCUUGAUCGAAGCCCCGGUAAACGGCGGCCGUAACUAUAACGGUCCUAAGGUAGCGAAAUUCCUUGUCGGGUAAGUUCCGACCUGCACGAAUGGCGUAAUGAUGGCCAGGCUGUCUCCACCCGAGACUCAGUGAAAUUGAACUCGCUGUGAAGAUGCAGUGUACCCGCGGCAAGACGGAAAGACCCCGUGAACCUUUACUAUAGCUUGACACUGAACAUUGAGCCUUGAUGUGUAGGAUAGGUGGGAGGCUU